rnacentral:rRNA from 1 species
UACGUAGGGUGCGAGCGUUGUCCGGAAUUAUUGGGCGUAAAGAGCUCGUAGGCGGUUUGUCGCGUCUGCCGUGAAAGUCCGGGGCUCAACUCCGGAUCUGCGGUGGGUACGGGCAGACUAGAGUGAUGUAGGGGAGACUGGAAUUCCUGGUGUAGCGGUGAAAUGCGCAGAUAUCAGGAGGAACACCGAUGGCGAAGGCAGGUCUCUGGGCAUUAACUGACGCUGAGGAGCGAAAGCAUGGGGAGCGAACAGGA